rnacentral:rRNA from 1 species
CCUACGGGAGGCAGCAGUGGGGAAUAUUGCACAAUGGGGGAAACCCUGAUGCAGCGACGCCGCGUGAGUGAAGAAGUAUCUCGGUACGGAAAGCUCUAUCUGCAGGGAAGAUAAUGACGGUACGUGACCAAGAAGCUCCGGCUAACGACGUUCCAGCAGCCCCGGUAAUACGGAGGGGGCCAGCGUUAUCCGGAGUUACUGGGUGUAAAGGGAGGGUAGAUGGCAGGCAAAGUCUGUAGUGAAAUCCCGGGGCUUAACCGCGGAACUGCUUUGGAAACUGUGCGGCUGGAGUGCAGGAGGGGUAAGCGGAAUUCCUAGUGUAGCGGUGAAAUGCGUAGAUAUUAGGAGGAACACCGGUGGCGAAGGCGGCUUACUGGACUGUAACUGACGUUGAGGCUCGAAAGCGUGGGGAGCAAACAGGAUUAGAUACCCGAGUAGUC